AGGCUUCUAUGACGUGAGGAGAGAGAAUGACACCGACAGGGAGCCCAUGCUAUUCAUGAUCAGCACAAUGAAAUCCAUCCUAAAAGAGAGGUUCCAGUUUGUGGAAGUCCUCGGCAACCACUACGUCCACAUGAAUGAACCCCACAACGUGGCCAGUAUCAUCAGCUCCUUUUUACAAAGCAAAUACAGGCUUCCUGCCCAGCUGUAGCUCUGGGCUGGGACUACAGAGACCUCAUGCUCACCAGACUCGCCUCCUGGACUCUGAGCUCACAAGCCCCACGACGAGACCAGGUGUGGUUGGGAUAGGCCUCACUGGUCUUAAGAUCAUGGGCUGGCAGACAUUCCGACUUAACAUCUGUGACCCUAAGAGACAGACAGUGCCUGGAUUUAGGGGGUUGUCUGUAUUGUGGUUAAUCGUCUGCAGCAAGCUGGUAGUGACUGGAGGAAGGAGUAGCCGGGAUAGGGUUAGGCCUGCUAGGGCCUUUCCCUGCUACCCAACUGGAGAAAAAAUAAAAUGUUCUUAUAUUCUCCCUUC